rnacentral:tRNA from 1 species
AAGAUUUUAAGUUAAAAUUUAAACUAAAAACCUUCAAAGUUUUAAAUAGGUGUAACCUAAAUCUUG